UACGUAGGGGGCAAGCGUUGUCCGGAAUCACUGGGCGUAAAGCGCGUGUAGGCGGCUCGAUAAGUCUGCUGUGAAAGUUCAGGGCUCAACCCUGAAAUGCCGGUGGAAACUGUCGAGCUAGAGUCCGGAAGAGGCGAGUGGAAUUCCUGGUGUAGCGGUGAAAUGCGCAGAUAUCAGGAGGAACACCAAUGGCGAAGGCAGCUCGCUGGGACGGUACUGACGCUGAGACGCGAAAGCGUGGGGAGCAAACAGG
rnacentral:rRNA from 1 species